UGCGUAGGCGGAUAGUUAAGUGUCUUGUGAAAUCCCUCGGCUCAACCGAGGAACUGCAGGGCAUACUGGCUAUCUUGAGACAAGCAGGGGUGUAUGGAACUCUGGGUGGAGCGGUGAAAUGCGUAGAUAUCCAGAGGAACGCCAGCGGAGAAAUCGGUACACUGGGCUUGUUCUGACGCUGAGGUGCGAAAGCGUGGGUAGCGAACAGGAUUAGAUACCCUGGUAGUCC
rnacentral:rRNA from 1 species